GGCCGGCUGGCGCAAUGGUAGCGCGUCAGCCUCCUAUCCACUCUAGUAGGAGGUCUCCACAGCUGAAGGUUCUGGGUUCGAGUCCCAGGUCGGUCG
rnacentral:tRNA from 1 species